GACGAACGCUGGCGGCGUGCUUAACACAUGCAAGUCGAACGGAAAGGCCCUGCUUUUGUGGGGUGCUCGAGUGGCGAACGGGUGAGUAACACGUGAGUAACCUGCCCUUGACUUUGGGAUAACUUCAGGAAACUGGGGCUAAUACCGGAUAGGAGCUCCUGCUGCAUGGUGGGGGUUGGAAAGUUUCGGCGGUUGGGGAUGGACUCGCGGCUUAUCAGCUUGUUGGUGGGGUAGUGGCUUACCAAGGCUUUGACGGGUAGCCGGCCUGAGAGGGUGACCGGCCACAUUGGGACUGAGAUACGGCCCAGACUCCUACGGGAGGCAGCAGUGGGGAAUAUUGCACAAUGGGCGGAAGCCUGAUGCAGCAACGCCGCGUGCGGGAUGACGGCCUUCGGGUUGUAAACCGCUUUCGCCUGUGACGAAGCGUGAGUGACGGUAAUGGGUAAAGAAGCACCGGCUAACUACGUGCCAGCAGCCGCGGCGAUACGUAGGGUGCGAGCGUUGUCCGGAUUUAUUGGGCGUAAAGGGCUCGUAGGUGGUUGAUCGCGUCGGAAGUGUAAUCUUGGGGCUUAACCCUGAGCGUGCUUUCGAUACGGGUUGACUUGAGGAAGGUAGGGGAGAAUGGAAUUCCUGGUGGAGCGGUGGAAUGCGCAGAUAUCAGGAGGAACACCAGUGGCGAAGGCGGUUCUCUGGGCCUUUCCUGACGCUGAGGAGCGAAAGCGUGGGGAGCGAACAGGCUUAGAUACCCUGGUAGUCCACGCUGUAAACGGUGGGUACUAGGUGUGGGGUCCAUUCCACGGGUUCCGUGCCGUAGCUAACGCUUUAAGUACCCCGCCUGGGGAGUACGGCCGCAAGGCUAAAACUCAAAGGAAUUGACGGGGCCCCGCACAAGCGGCGGAGCAUGCGGAUUAAUUCGAUGCAACGCGUAGAACCUUACCUGGGUUUGACAUGGAUCGGGAGUGCUCAGAGAUGGGUGUGCCUCUUUUGGGGUCGGUUCACAGGUGGUGCAUGGCUGUCGUCAGCUCGUGUCGUGAGAUGUUGGGUUAAGUCCCGCAACGAGCGCAACCCUUGUUCACUGUUGCCAGCACGUUAUGGUGGGGACUCAGUGGAGACCGCCGGGGUCAACUCGGAGAAAGGUGGGGAUGACGUCAAGUCAUCAUGCCCCUUAUGUCCAGGGCUUCACGCAUGCUACAAUGGCUGGUACAGAGAGUGGCGAGCCUGUGAGGGUGAGCGAAUCUCGGAAAGUCGGUCUCAGUUCGGAUUGGGGUCUGCAACUCGACCUCAUGAAGUCGGAGUCGCUAGUAAUCGCAGAUCAGCAACGCUGCGGUGAAUACGUUCCCGGGGCU
rnacentral:rRNA from 1 species